AACAAGGAAAUAAAAUAAGUUUUUGGUGGGUUUUCUAAUUGAAGAAACAACAUGCCCCAAUCCCAUGAAAAUGGAAAAGCUUGGUUAUUGGGGAACACUUGGAGAAGGAAAAAAAACGAUAAUAAUGGAACCAGUACGGUUACUGAGGUCAUUUUUUCCUUUUGGGUAUGUGAACAAGAUGAAUAUGAUUGCAGAAAAAUCAAGUGCAGGC
rnacentral:lncRNA from 1 species